GUUUUCAUGUUACUAGUUCAUGAUCCUUUUUCUGAAAUUAGUCCUUAUAUUCACAGGUGUUUCUCGGUAAAACAUGUUCUUAUAUAAACAUUAAACAGCAACUAGCUUUCACAUUAAUUUCAAAUAGCAAUCCAGAUUGUUUAUGUAUCAAAGUUCUUAUUUAAGAAUUGGGCACGUUUCCACAAUGAAAUUCUGGUAGCUAUCGUAGACUGAGGUACACCAUAUGUUUGUGAUGCCUUUGUCUGACUCAUUUGCCCAGAUUUUACUGCAAUCAAAGCGUUUUCUAAGUUUUCACGUUUGUACUUCCUUAAUUUCCUCCUUGCCUUAAUCUUCAUAUCUGAAAGACAUAAAUAGAUUUGUUAGAAAAUUAAUGACUUUUGGAUUUUGGAAUUCUUGCUUAGUUUAUGUUUUAAAGGUUUAUUAUAGAGUUGACAAAUGUUUUCAAUGUUUAUUAUAGAGUUGACAAAGGUUUUCAAUGUUUAUUAUAAAGUUGACAAAGGUUUUCAAUGUUUAUUAUAAAGUUGACAAAGGUUUUAUUCUGUUUGGCUAUCUGGUGGUUUUCUAAACAUUCGUGAGCAGAUUGUUGUUCUUGGGACCCCAAAAUAUCGAGCAGCCCUGCUUUUGGACAUGUGCCCAGCUUGCACUGCCUGGAUGGCCAUUUCUAAAUUGUCAGGAUUAUAGACCCAAUAUCUUCCACUCUUGGGAAUCUGUCCAGAUUUGUUAUCUGAAAGAUAUACAGUGCAAAUAUUUAGUUAUUCCAAAUGUAAAAUGGGAAAACUGAAUUUUAGUAACUUAAUAAAAUAUCUGUUGUUGUUUUUCCAAUAUAAUACCAUAAUUUCAGAC
rnacentral:lncRNA from 1 species